UACAGAGACUGCAAGCGUUAUUCGGAUUCACUGGGCGUAAAGGGUGCGCAGGCGGCCAAGUGUGUGAGGCGUGAAAGCCUGGGGCUUAACUCCAGAAUUGCACCUCAAACUACAUGGCUAGAGCAUUGGAGAGGGUAGCAGAAUUCACGGUGUAGCAGUGAAAUGCGUAGAUAUCGUGAGGAAUACCAGAGGCGAAGGCGGCUACCUGGACAAUUGCUGACGCUCAGGCACGAAAGCUAGGGGAGCGAACGGG
rnacentral:rRNA from 1 species